CAGGCUGCCCCACCCCCCUCCUCCAUAUACUACAUGCCCCGGCCUCCUAUAUAUACUUUACAUCGUGGACACCGUGUACUAUCCAACCCAGCCGUCCCCAAAAACCGGUCCAAAACCUCCAACAGCUGCAGGUCUUGAGAGCCGCCCCAGCUCUUCCCUCAGUCACAACCCUCCUCAAACCACACCAGCAGACAUGAUCAUCAGACUGGGCAGACUGACCCCUGGAUACUUCCGCCUCCUGCAGAGGCAAGUAGCCGGCGAGGUGCAGACGCAGCCACAGGACCGCGCGGUCAACCAGAUCGCCAUGAUGCUGGCCAUCAUGGGCCUGAGCCUGUCCUACUACAGUGCCAAACAGAUGACGGAGAAGGUCCAGGCAGCCCAGCCCGCACCCUGAAACUUGACAGAGACUUGACCGUUCUGACGGAGAUAAUGGACGAGCUGAUGAGACGUGAAGGACGUGGAGCCGGAACGGAGACGCACUUUUCUCACCUCACAGUCAUAGUCACACUCAGACACUGAAUUUCUGGGAUCCCUCAAGUCAACAUGCGCAGAGACUUCAGGGCUGCUGCAAAUAGUUUUCUCUACUUUGUCAUCGGGACCUUGAGGGGGGUUUAAAGAAGGGGGCCACUCACUUUGGAUCGUGGAGAGGACUGGUUUUGAGGACUGGUUUGGGUGGGUGAUUGAAACCAGCUGACAGCCUGCUGAGUCUGACCAUUAGUUGUUACAAAGGUACAUGCCUGCAGGAUGCCACCAAUACUGCUCUGAGCUCUAAAAAAAGGGGGGAAACUCUAAGAAAACUGUGAAUUUAGCUUAAAACCUGUCCGAGAAGAGUUCAAUAAUCAGAGCAGUGAUGCCUUUUAAAGGAGGGCUGACUGCAGCUGAGCUGUACCUUGUAACAAAGUGAUGGCAGACACACACACAGGGUUAAAGGGGAUUUAAAAAGAAAAGAUAACUCAAUCCGUUUCAGGUUUUCUGUAUUUUUGUUUCUGCCACAAGAGAACCCUGUAGAGAGCUGUGUCACAAACUGUCCAUAUGCUAUAUACGUGUGAAAUCUUUCUGAGUCUCGGUGAAUAUUUGCACACAAGUGCAGCCAUGUUUUAAAGACUAGAUCUGCAAAGGGAUUUAAAACUACUCACUACCUUUUUUUUUAAUGGUGUUACUUUUCUGUGAUUUCACCGUUUUAACAUAAAUCUAUGAAGUCCUGUUGAUAAGAUGUGUGACUACCUUAAUAAGAACUCUUCCUGCAGUAUCUUCAUGUAAACAUGUUACUGUAACAGAAUAUUGCAUGAGUGUGCAGACUUUUAAUCAAAGAAUAUUUCAAGUCUGUUUUGUUUUUAUUGAUGCAAUGAAUGUAUGACUUUAUUUUGUAAUGAUUUAAUAAAGCUGUGAAUAUUUUGAACAAGA